UUACUUUCCUGGCAAGGGAGACACCAUGAUCAGAAAGGUGGUUUUCCCAGGGUGAAGCUCAUCUAUUGCAUUCUGGGUGUCCUGACCCCUGCGAUUUCCCCAAGUACGAGAAUCUCGACUGCAUAAUUUGUGGUAGUGGGAGACUGCAUUCGCGCUUUCCCCUA